CCGCAGAUGUGAGAGAGGAACCAGCAGCUAAGAAAAAGGGACAGCUCACAGACCUACCAAAUGAUCUAAAGUUGUGGAAUGAAAGAAAAAUUGAACAUCUACAGCGUGUGAUAAAUCAGCUGAGAGAAGAGAACAUGAAUUUAAAUAAAGAAAAUGAGAGGCUGAAAAAUGAAAUACUUAAAAAAAUCCCACCUCUCCUUCUGGCUACAGAGCACUUACUACAGGAGGUUAGAAUAAUUGUUUACAUGAUGUAACAGUUAUGCCUUAAUUUAUUUUACUAAUGACAAUGCUCCACAUUUCCUUGCCUUUUAAAACUUUUUAAGACCUUUGGA